UUGGAGAUUUAUGGUUUUCGAUGCUAGGAUUUGGUUCUAAGGUUUAUUUCAAAAUUAUUAUUUCAUAGUAAAAUUUGAUAUUUCAUGAUUGCAGGGCCGGUCCGACGUAUACUACGACCCUAAGCCAAAAUUUUUUUUUUGCCCCACCUUUAUAACUUUUUUCACUCAUCACAGUUGCUUUUUGGUUCAAAAAAAUAAAACAUAAAGCUUUAAAAGCAAACAGAGGUAUCAAAACAGAACAAAAGUAUCAAAAAACAGAACAAAAGUAUUAAAAACAGAACAGAAGUAUCAAAACCAACAAAAACCAAAAGACAUAAGAGAGGAUACAUAAGUUUUAAGCAAACACUACUGAGUAAAUAUGAUCCUGCUUGCAUUUUUCCCUGCAAAGUCAUCCAUCACAGUCGCAUAAUCAAUCUUUUCAAGCAUUGCUCUCUCAAUUGAUAAUAUGGCUAACCCAUUGAGCCUAUCCUGUGACAUGGUGGACCUCAAAUAAUUCUUGAUCAACUUAAGCUUAGAAAAACUUCUUUCGGCUGAAGCAACUGACACUAGAAUA
rnacentral:sRNA from 1 species